GAUGAACGCUGGCGGCGUGCCUAAUACAUGCAAGUCGAGCGAACAGAUAAGGAGCUUGCUCGUUUGACGUUAGCGGCGGAAGGGUGAGUAACACGUGGGUACCCUACCUAUAAGACUGGAAUAAUUCCGGGAAACCGGGGCUAAUGCCGGAUAACAUUUAGAACCGCAUGGUUCUAAAGUGAAAGAUGGUUUUGCUAUCACUAUUAGAUGGACCCGGGCCGUAUUAGCUAGUUGGUAAGGUAACAGCUUACCAAGGCGACGAUAGGUAGACGACCGGAGGGGGGGAUAGGCCGCACGGGAGGUGAGACACGGUCCAGAGUCCUACGGGAGGGAGCAGACGGGGAUGUGAGGCAGUGGGCGGAAGCCUGGCGGAGCAACGGCACGUGGGUGAUGGCAGUCUCCGGAUCGUAAAACUCUGUUAUUAGGGAAGAACAAAUGUGGAAGUAACUGUGCACGGCUUGACGGUACCGAAUCAGAAAGCCACGGCUAACUACGUG
rnacentral:rRNA from 1 species